CUUCUGGCGGUUGUCCCAGGAGUCUUGCCAAUCCUGGCAGCUCCCCGAGCUAGGUGGUCCUGGUCCUCAGGGGUGCUACUACAAGGGUCCUGCUGCUCCCACAGAGAAGUAGGCUAGAGAAUUCAUAAUGUUGUGAGGAGUGAGAAGAGGGACCACUAAUUAUUUGAGCCUGUCAGGGCAACUAUGAUUGGGAGAGUGCUCUGGGGGCAGAGCUAGGCAGACAAGAAGGGUGGGGUGGGCGACUCCACAACCACUAAAGAGGAUUGAAGGUUCUCUAGCUGCAGAAGGUGACCCUGAGCCUGAAGUUAAGAUCCACCCCUCCAACUACCCUCAGAAAAGAGUAUGCCUCUCAAGGACAGCAACCAAAUACAUAAUACAACUAGGAACACACCAUCACAGCAAGGCUGGACAAGGCAACCCAGUAGGAAGAAAAGAGUCCUGUAAUGGAAGUUUUGAUGAGGGUCAGGAGGAGAGAAGAGGUAAGUAAUUUUCUCCCUGAGACUAACUUCAGCUGAAUGUCAAAGUGGACUCACUUUUGACAUCUGAAGGGCAGUGUGAGGGCACAGGAUGAUACCUGGGAUGAAGAAGUGAAGAGACAGACUAGAAGAGUAAAGAAAGAAAAGAAGUAUGGGGAAAUAUUAAAAAAAAUGCUGAAGCAUUUUUUAAAUUUCUUUUUUAGAAUUUAGGUUAUUUUACUGACUUUGACUAAUGUGAAAUAACAUUCAAAACUCCAUAUAUAGGAUAUAAACCUGUACCCUCAUGUUGCUUUGAACAUUUAUUGUGAUUAUUAAUUUUGUUUCAGGUUGAUUUCAUUCUAGUGUCUGCUUUCAGCAGCACACACACACACACACACACACACACACACACACACACACACACACAUGCAUGUACACAUGCCUACCUCUGGGUUAGGGGCAUGGAAGAGUGUUCACCUUAGGUUUUAAAGCUGAUUACAUGGGGAAUCCAAGGCAUUGUAAGUUUGGUUACACUGUUCUCUUACAGGGAGGUUAAACUUAAAGAUGCUGAAUACACAGCAGAACCCCAGAUUGAAUAGCCUCUAAUGAUCUCAAGGCAUACAAUUAACUAGGUUGCAAGGUUUGGCAAAAACUUAAUCUCCUUAAAGUCAGGAGGUAUUCUCAGAGGAAGAUAUCAGCACUCUUCAGCAGCCCUUACCUGCCACUGCAGUGUCUUCUCCAUGAGUAGCACUCCUGUUUGAAUCUCCCUUCUCCAGUUCCACUGAACACUGCAGAAUGUGAUCUACAUUAGCCCUUCUGCGGAUCCCUUUUUCCUCUAUCAGAAAGUAUUAUGUAAAUCAGUGCAAUGUUUGUGUAAACCAUCAGAGGAGCACAAAGCUCCCUUAAUAUUUCUUAGUUAGGCCAUCAAAAAUGCCACCAAGGGAAUUGUGCUGGCAUUAUAUAUAAUAUCUUGAAUCCAAUGUUGAGGACACAGGCAUGUUUUGUCUCUUUUGAAGGUAGUUUAGUGCAUGAGGUAUUGCCCUAGAGCUGAAAUGCAUGGGGCACAACACAGUGAAGAUCCUGCUUUAACUUCAGGAUAAGAGACCAGUUUUGAUUAGGAUGGUUUUGAGACCAGUCAGAAAAACCAUCCUAAUCUUACAGCAUUAUUUUUAUUUUCCAUUACUCCAUUUGAGUGUUGAUACACAGUUAUGGCUGCUGUCUUUAAACACAUUACCUACCAACAAAAGGUAACUGAAGAUGGGAUCAAAGUCAUGAACACUUUGACAAAGUCAAAGACACAUGUUAAAAUGUUCUGUUGUAGUCUCCCACUAUUAUUGUGUGAGGUGAAAUGUGUGCUUUGAGUUGAGCAAAGUUUCUUUUAUGAAUGUAAGUCCCCUUGCAUUUGGAGAAUAGAUGUUCAGAAUUCAUAGUUCAUCUUGGUAGAUUUUUCCUUUGAUGAGUAUGAAGUGUCCUUCCUUACUAUCUUUUUUGAGAACUUGGUUGAAAGUCGCUUUUAUUCUACUUUAGAAUGGCUACUCCAGCUUGUUUCUUGGGACCAUUUGUUUGGGAAUUUGUUUUCCAGUCUUUUACUCUGAGAUAGUGUCUGUUUUUGUCACUAAGGUGUGUUUUCUGUAUGCAGCAAAAUUCUGGAUCCUGAUUCUGAAUCCAGUUAGUUAGUCUAUGUCUUUUUAUUGGGAAAUUGAGUCCAUUCAUGUUAAAAGAUAUUAAAGAAAAGUGAUGUUGCUUCUUGUUAUUUUUGUUGUUAGAGGUGGAAUUAUGUUUGUGUGGUUAUCUUCCUAUUAUUUUUCUUUUUUAAUAUUAUUUUUCUUAGAUACUUUAUGUAUUUACAUUUCAAAUGUUAUUCCCUUUCUCCUCCUCUCCCGUACCCCCUCUCCCUUUUCCUGCUUCUAUGAGGAUGGUCCUACUAACACCAACUCAUUCCUACCUCAACCUCCUAGCAUUCCCCUAAAUUGGUGAAAUGAGCCUUUACAGAACCAAAGGCUUUUCCUCCUAUUGAUGUUAGACAAUAUGGUCUUCUGUUACAUAUGCAGCUGGAGCCAUGGGUCCCACCAUGUGUAUUCAUUGGAUGGUCGUUUAGUAUCUGGGAGCUCUGAGAGGGAGUCUAGUUGAUAAUAUUGUUUUUCUUCCUAUGGGGUUCUUCAACUCAUUCAGUCUUUUCUCAAACUCCUUCAUUGGGGUCCCCAUGUUUAGUCCAACUGCAAGCAUCCUCUUCUGUGUCAAUAAGGCUCUGGCAGAGCCUCUCAGGAGACAUCUAUACCUGACUCCCGUCAGCAAGCACUUCUUGGCAUCAGGAAUAGUGACUGAGUUUGGUGACUGCAUAUGAGAUAAAUCCCCAGGUGGAGCAGUCUCUGGAUGACCAUUUCUUCAGUCCCUGCUCCAUUCUUUGUCCUUGUAUUUCCUCCCAAGAGCUGUUCUUCAUUCUAAGAACUGAAGCAUCCACAUUUUGGUCUUCCUUCGUCUUGAGCUUCAUAUGACCUGUGAAUUGUUUCUUGGGUAUUCCAAGACUUUGGAUUAAUAUCCAAUUAUCAGUGAGUACAUAACAUGUGUGUUCUUUUGUGACUUGGAUACCUUACUAAGGAUGAUAUUUUCAAGUUCCAUCCAGUUUGCCUAAGAAUUUCAUGUAGUCAUUGUUUUUACUAGCUGAGUAAUACUCUAUCAUGUAAAUGUACCACCUUUACUAUAUCCAUUCCUCUGUUGAAGGCUAUCUGGGUUGUUUCCAGCUUCUAGAUGCUAUAAAUAAGAUGGCUAUGAACAUAGUGGAACAUGUGUCCUUGUUAUAUAUUAGAGCAUUUUUGGGUAUAUGCCCAGGAGUGGUAUAGCUGCGUCUUCAGGGAAUACUAUGUCCAAUUUUCUGAGGAACCGCCAGGCUGAUUUCCAGAGUGGUUGUACCAGCUUGCCUUCCCACCAACAAUGGAGGAGUCUCCCUUUCUCCACAUCCUUGCCAACAUCUGUCAUCUGAAAUUUUGAUUUAAUCCAUUCUGCCUGGUAUGAGGUGGAAUCUCAGGGUUAUUUUGAUUUGGAUUUCCAUGACGACUAAGGAGGUUGAAAAUUUCUUUAAGUUCUUCUUGGCCAUUUGGUAUCCCUCAGUUGAGAAUUCUUUGUUUAGCUCUGUACCCCAUUUUUAUAUAGGAUUAUUUGGUUCUCUGGAGUCUAACUUCUUGUGUUCUUUGUAUAUUUUAGAUAUUAGCCUUCUAAUGGAUACACAGUUAGUAAAGACCUUUUCCCAAUCUGUUCAUUGCUGUUUUGUCCUCUUGACAGUGUCCUUGAUCUUACAGAAGCUUUGCAAUUUUAUGAGGUCCCAUUUGUUGAUCUUAAAGCAAAAGCCAUUCUAUUUCAUUGAUCUAACUUCCUGUCUCUGUACCAAUACCAUACAGUUUUUUUUUAAUCACUAUUGCUUUGUAAUACAGCUUGAUGUCAGGGAUGGUGAUUCCCCCAGAAGUUCUUUUAUUGUUGGGAGUUUUUGCUAUCCUGGGUUUUUGUUAUUCCAAAUGAAGCUGCAAAUUGCUCUUUCUAACUCUAUGAAGAAUUGAGUUGGAAUUUUGAUGGGGAUUGCAUUGAAUCUGCAGAUUACUUUUAGCAAGAUGGCCAUUUUUACUAUAUUAAUCCUGUCAAUCCAUGAGCAUGGGAGAUUUUUCCAUCUUCUGAGAUCCUUGUCAAUUUCUUCCUUUUUUUUUUUAUUAUUAACUUGAGUAUUUCUUAUUUACAUUUCGAGUGUUAUUUCAUUUCCUGGUUUCCGGGCAAACAUCCCCC